rnacentral:rRNA from 1 species
GACGAACGCUGGCGGCGUGCCUAAUACAUGCAAGUCGAGCGGACGGAUGGGAGCUUGCUCCCAGACCGUCAGCGGCGGACGGGUGAGUAACACGUGGGCAACCUGCCUGUAAGACUGGGAUAACUCCGGGAAACCGGGGCUAAUACCGGAUAACUCUUUCCCUCACAUGAGGGAAAGCUGAAAGAUGGCAUCUCGCUAUCACUUACAGAUGGGCCCGCGGCGCAUUAGCUAGUUGGUGAGGUAACGGCUCACCAAGGCGACGAUGCGUAGCCGACCUGAGAGGGUGAUCGGCCACACUGGGACUGAGACACGGCCCAGACUCCUACGGGAGGCAGCAGUAGGGAAUCUUCCGCAAUGGACGAAAGUCUGACGGAGCAACGCCGCGUGAGUGAUGAAGGUUUUCGGAUCGUGAAACUCUGUUGUCAGGGAAGAACAAGUACCGGAGUAACUGCCGGUACCUUGACGGUACCUGACCAGAAAGCCACGGCUAACUACGUG